CUGAGGGAUGGACCAGUCCAGAGUGUGGGGACGGGGGAGACGGCCGGGAAUGCGCCAGGGCCUGUGGCCAAGAACAUUCUCACCUUCUUCCUGGAGAGCACGGGUUAGAGUGAGGAUUGAAUGCAUGAAUAUGCACAGAGCGUUCUGGAUGAAGACAUGCUCCCCACUCCCCCCCGCACCCCACCCGGCUGCUCCGGCCAGCGACCACAGGCAGAGGUCCUGGGCGGAUGAUUUCUACGCUUUCUACACAGUGCAGAUCUCCAAAGGGCCAGCUCUGCUCUGGAGUCACCACUGGGCUGGCUGGGACUUUCUCAGCGGGGGCCUGCGAGCUGAGGGUCUUCCUGUUCCCUCAUCUUUCUUCCUCUCUGUCCACUGAUGUCAGACCCACACGGUGACCUGAAGGCUCCCCUACCUCAUCUGCUCCCGCUCCCCUUUAUUUUUCCCAGGCAUUACCCCCAAUAAGUCUCUCGCAUUUCUGUGUUGUUGGCAUUUGCUCCCUGGAAGACCUUUGGCAGACUAGGCUAGACGGAAUUCUUUGGCACAGGACUCGUCAGAGCCUUUAAUAUAAUAAUAUACAUAAUGACUCGUUAAGAAGGGAACCUACUAUGAAGCGUUUCCUGCAUUUAUUCGACCCCUAACCACUAACAUCCACCCACACACACUCCAUCCAUUCCUAUCUCGUGAAACAUAGGAUCUGCUGGAAAAAGUUCCGUAGACACUGCACUAGAAGUGUUAUUUCCCCAUUUUAAGAGAUGAGAUGACUGAUGGCUAGUAAUUUAAAAAUUGCAAAGAACCCCAUAAAUACAAGACAUGUUAGUGCUAGCAAAGUUAUGAUUUAGAGGGCCUGCUGUGAAACCGCCCCCCAGAAACGGUGCUUGGGGGGUCAGGGGCAGCAGCUGUAACACCCUGAGCUCCGCCUGACUCAUGUGGGGGUUGGCAGAGGGCCCAGGAGACUGGGCUUUUUGAAGCUUUCCUUCUGGAGUUUUCCUCUCUCUCCUACGCUCCCAGCCUCCCGUCACGGCCAGGCCCCUCCCACCUCCUCUUCAGCACUCGGAUCCCACAGGAAGCCCCGCCCACGCCCCGCCCCACCCCGUUCUCUCUUCCGGCAGGCGGGUCCCACCUCCGUGCUGCAGCCAUAGGAAAGCAGAAGGCCUGGGACCCAUCGCUCCACAGGGGAGAACUCUCUAAAACAGAACUGUUCGCUGCAACUCUGUGGAAUUCAGAUUCUCUGAAUCACAGAUCCGAUCACAGACCUGAAUGAGAGAGAAGAAGAAAGGACUGGCUCUUCCUCAGCCUCAGUCCUAGUGACAAAGCGGCCCCAUGCCAUCCCCUUUGCCCUCCUAAGCAGAGCAGAGAGACGGCAGAACUGUGGACUGCGGGGUUAGGGCCAGGGAGCUGCCUCACCUCAGCAGCCUCUUUGCUGGGCUUCCGUCUUCUCGUCUAAAAAUGGGGAAAUAAUUGACCAAUGAUGAAGAUUCAAUGUGCAAAUGUGCACAGAGCGUGGAACUCAGUGCCAGGCGCAUGGGGGCGCUCAGUUCAAAGGGUGGCUUCAGAUGGUACGUCCAGAAGCUGAAGAUCAUGCCUCUGAUGCCUCCCAAGCAUCCAGGGCCAUGGGGGUGGUGCGGCCUGGACGAUGGGCUAUUUCGCCUCUUUUCAUCUGGAGAAAAUUAGCUAAGGAACAGAGAUUGCCUUGCUGUGGUCCUCUGAGACAUACACAUUCCUGCCCCACCCCCAACCCCCCCUCAACUGCUGGCACUCAGGGCUGUGGCCCAUGCUCAGGCAGCUUUGGGUAAUCCCAGCUGCUUCUGACUCACCCACUGAGGCCCUGAGGACUCACACCAGGAAGCUUCCCCACGGUGAGGGGUGAGGCCGGAGUGUGUGACUGUCUGUGCCCCUGUGUUCCUGCAAAAGGUAUUGUGUGAUGGGAGAAAGAGGAGAUGUUGCCACAUCCUGUGAGACUGCAUUGUGCGAGAGGCUCUGAAACAUAUAAAGAGCAUGUUUAUUCAGGUUUAAAAACUGGACCUUGUCCAGUGGCGGGUUGCGAUCAUUGUGUGCAUCUGCAAAUACAUCUGAGUAGCUCAGGACAGCUACAGGCUCUUGUGAGUGGGAUCCUGUGCACAGAGGCCCUCGAAGGUUGAUGAACCAGCAGCCAGGGCCGCAGGGAAGAUAGAGUUCCUGGCUGGGGAAGGGCAGUCCCCGGGGAGCUGGGAGGCUCUUCUGCCCCAGGGCUGCAAGGAGCUCCUGGUCUGACUGUGCCAUCAGGGCUGGUCUGCCCAGUCAUCUGUUGCUUAGAGGACUCGGAGGAGAAGUCAGGGCGUUCCCAGGUGCUCUGCCACCCUGGGCCAGUUGACAAGCUUUCUCCCAAGAGCCCAGCAGAAAUGUGGGUGGGCCCAAAAGAAAUCGAAUGGUGAAACAAAUCAACAGAGCCUAGGAAGGGCUGUCUCUUUCCUACGUUUUCGAUUGUGGUGGUUUCAUAAAACCCUUGCACGAGAAACCUUCCAGUUAGAAAUGAAUUCCUGUGUCACCCGUGUCAUCCAAGGGUACAGAAAGCAGAGCCUAGUGGCGGGCAGUGGUACCUGUCCAUCAAGCAGAGCCCCCAGAUGGCAAACCGGAGAUGGAGGAUGGCAAAUAAAAACACAGCCGGACUACGAUUAGGGAAGAAUUUAAUUAGAAAGAAUUUAAUUAGAAAGAUAGACCAUUGCAAUAGGGAGAACUCUCCAGUCUGUUGGCACAAGAAACGUCAAAACCUGUAGAGAAUUUUUAUUAGAGUUUAUUUGAGCCAAAACUGAUGACAUGUGCCUGGGAGCAAGAUGUCAGAUGCUCUGAAGAAUAACAGUUCUGCAGCUUCUUUUACGCAUUUGAAAUUAAGGAGGAAAUAUAGGGAAGAUGGGAGAAAGCAAGGCCCAGCCAGGGCUUGAAUCACAAGACGGUGCUUUCUUAAGGGUGGUUAUGCCUUCCAGGGAUAUUACUUCUGGCAUCUCGAAGGUGCAUUAACCUAGACGCACAAUAAUGGACAAAGCUUGGUUUCCAACCUUUCACUAAAGAAGUUAUGCCUGGAUCAAGACUCCCCACCACGAUUCCUACCCAGUUAGGAAUUUAUGAUUUAUUCUAGCCCCCUUUUUUAUCCACAAGUCUCAGAAACCUCCGAGUGUCUCGAAAUCAAACGGAAAAAGAGUUUUCUUUUAUGAGGUCAGCAUCAAGUGCCCCUAUAGCCUCCACUUACGCAAUAAAAAUGCCUCUAUUUUCUUCAAAUACUUCUCACUCACUUCAUUUAUUUCUCCAUCAUCCAGUGAGAGCCUAUGAGGUGCACCCGGCAUAAAAAGGCCUGUCCACAAAGUGUCCGCACACGGCAGAGUAUACGGAUGUCAUAUUAUAAAGUUGUACACCUGAAAUUUAUGUUAUUAACCCAUGGUACCCUAAUAAGUUUAAUUUAAAAAUACUGUGUUAAAGGGUAAAAUAAUGACUUUCAAACAAAUAUAAAAGGAACGUAUGUCAAACAUUUUAUUUAACUCAUUAAUGGAUGACAAAACCAGUAGGUGUUUUUAAAAAAAAAAAAGUUCAAAGAAGAAUCUAAAAGAACAGCAAUUUAGGAAUGCAGAAUAGAAAUUUGCUAAGAGUUGCAAAAUCAAAGGAGGCUGUUUGGUUGCACUUCCGUCAGAGAAAAUCCAUUUGUAGAUAUAUGGACAAGAGUUAUUUGCAUUACUCUCAAUUUUCUACAACUUACAGAGCUGUAGACCAGCUUGAAAACUAUGAAAGGCACAGACCACUGCAGACCUGAUUCCCUGAAAGGCGCCACCCAGCAUUCCAUGGCACAGCCACGAUUUUUUUUUUCUUCAAUUCCAAAGACCUGCCAGGCAGCAGCGUAGCAUCCUGACUAUAACGGGCCUCGGUGACCCCGAAUCCUCGUUCUGCCUCUGACUAGUCGGGUGACAUUGAGUAAUGUCAUGGAACCUCUCCGAUCCUCGGCUUUUGCAUCCGUAGAAUGGGACAACAGCAGGACAACCUUCUCACAGAGUUGCUUAGGGGAUUAAAUGAGAUCACAUCUGCAGAGCCCUGAGGACACAAAGUCGGGGCGCAGCGGGUGGCAGCUCAUUUCGUCUCCUCGACCUCCCUCCCUGAUGUACUUACUGACGCCCGGGGCAUUUCCUGGAGAGUCACGACGGCCCCCGCCCCGGGCUUUGCUCAGCGCCGACCGUCAGGAGGUGGGGUGUGGUGCGCGUCCCGGCUCUGCCGCCGCGGAGCCCCGCGUCGGGCGCCGAGCGGCCUGCGCCA